UGAGAUCAGGCAUGAGUGUUGAGUGUGAGGCGUGAGAAGCAGAAUUUCAAUUGUAGCUAAUUGCAAGCUCCAGAGACAGAACUUCUGAUCCAAUUGCACCUGGAUUACAGAAAUCUGAAUAUGACUGAGACAAAUUGUAGAAAACAAGGGUUCAAAAAAUGUCGGAGUGCUACUUUCAACAUUGAUGGAUUUAGUUUCACCAUACUUGCUAAUGAAAAGAGUGAUCGGAAUCCACGACCAGUUGAAAGAUUUGCACGUUCAAAAUCCCAGACCUCUUUGCGGCACAGUGGUGCAAGAUUUGAAGGGAAGGAUGAAAAAAGAAAAGAAAAAAUAGGGAAUGCCGUUGAUUCACAGAAUCCAGAAGAAGUCCUAGCGGAGGAGUUCCUCUCCGUUGAUAACCCAGACGCUUUGGAAAAAGCAGCGAUCAGAUUGCGAUCUCUGGUCAAACAGCUGGAACGAGGCGAAGCUUCAGUCUCAGAUCUGAAGAAGAAUUUAGACUAUGCAGCUACAGUGCUCGAGACAGUCUACAUUGAUGAGACACGGCACCUUCUAGAUACAGAGGAUGAACUCAGCAAUAUCCAGUCUGAAUCUGUUCCAUCAGAAGUCCGUGACUGGCUGGCUUCUACAUUUACGAAACAAAUGGGGCUGAUGCUGAAGCGAACAGAGGAAAAGCCAAGGUUCCGCAGUAUUGUACAUGCAGUACAGGCUGGGAUAUUUGUAGAAAGAAUGUACAGGCGAACAUCAAAUAUGGUUGGACUAAGUUAUCCUCCUUCAGUCAUCGAUGUAUUAAAGAAUGUAGAUAAAUGGACCUUCAAUGUUUUUGCACUGAAUGAAGCCAGUGGAGAACAUGCACUCAAAUUCAUUGUUUAUGAUCUAUUCACCAGAUAUGACCUCAUCAGUCGUUUCAAGAUCCCCAUUUCCUCCCUUGUGUCAUUCAUUGAUGCUCUAGAAGUUGGAUACAUGAAGCAUAAAAACCCCUAUCAUAAUCUACUACAUGCAGCAGAUGUUACACAGACAGUCCAUUACUUUAUCCUGAGAACUGGUAUUGUGCACUGGAUGACAGAACUGGAAAUCUUCGCCAUGCUAUUUGCAGCUGCUAUUCAUGACUAUGAGCACACAGGAAUGACAAAUAAUUUCCACAUCCAGACCAGGUCUGAUACAGCUAUUUUGUACAAUGACCGAGCAGUACAGGAGAGUCAUCAUGUCAGUGCAACUUAUCGCCUGCUACAAGAUGAUGAGGAAAUGAACAUCCUGUUCAACCUUUCAAAGGAUGAUUGGAGGGAACUGCGAGCCUUGGUAAUUGAGAUGGUGUUGGCGACUGACAUGUCUUGCCAUUUUCAACAAGUCAAAGCUAUGAAGAAUGCAUUGCAGCAACCUGAAGGGAUUGAUAAACCAAAAGCCUUUUCCAUGUUGCUGCACACAGCUGAUAUCAGCCAUCCAACGAAAGCCUGGGAGAUGCAUCAUCGCUGGACCAUGGCAUUGUUGGAGGAAUUCUUCAGACAGGGUGACAAAGAGGCUGAACUGGGGCUUCCUUUCUCUCCACUCUGUGAUCGUAACUCAACAAUGGUAGCUCAGUCCCAAAUAGGUUUUAUUGACUUUAUUGUGGAGCCAACAUUUUCCGUUUUGACUGACAUGACCGAAAAGAUUGUAACUCCCCUUAUUGAUGAAGCAUCCCACUCCAGUGCCAGUGGAUUUCGGCGAGCCAGUGUGCACAGUAUUUCAUCUACUGAAGUGAAACGGACAAAUUUGAAAAAUAUACUGUCUGAAGGAAAUUCUUCUAUAAAUUCUUCCCUGCUCGCUGUGGAUAUGAAGAGCUUUAAAAAUAUCUGGAGUGAAAUAUUGCAACAAAACCGUGAAAAAUGGAAGGCAUUGCAUGCAAAGGAUACUGAAGAAAAAAACAGAAAAGAAGGUGAAGAAAAAGAAAGAGCAGAAGCCCAGGCAGUACUCGAGAAGAAAGAGCGUCGCUUUCUCAGAGAACAAAUGGUGCCACAGGAAAAAGACAAUGAAGAAAACAAAAAAGAUCAUAGAACGACUUUCAUCUCGACUCCUAAGAAGGAUGUAAGCUUUUGGAAAACUGAGAAAGGAACUGGCACUGUAUCAGAAGGCAGAGCACGGCUUAUGCAGAAUGGGAAGCUAAGCAUUGUCAGUGCCGAGUCCACGGAUUCCAGUCAGGAAAGGGACCAAAAGAAGGCAGGAGGGGCAGAAGUGCAGCCUGGCCCUGGAAACUAGUUGCAUCAUGCUAGCUCAGCUUCUUCAUUUUUUCCACAAGGAGCAACCCACAGGGAAAGGCUUGAACAGUGUUUCAAGUGCUGACUCUUCUCAUUGGCCAGUUUACAAAAGACUAAAACUAUAGGCAUUGGAUUUUUUUAUUGGUUUCUGCUUUUUUUUUGUUUUAAAAUGAACUGUUGUUUUGCACAGGUGGAGAAUUCUUGAAGUUUUUGAUUUUACAAAUAUGGCCUCCAAUAAAUAGAAAUGGCAUUGUACAGCAUAAUCUUAACAGGGGAUCUGAGGCCUUACAAAUGAUGUGGUAAAGCUGUAUAACAAAUAUUUAUUGAAGGGCUUCUUGUGAAUACAACACAAGCAUGGAAGUACAGAUGUCAUUAAAUGACAUUUCCAUUAUUUCAAGGUUCUUUUUUGCAUCCCACCUCUCAAACUUCAUUAAACUGUAACUGUAGGGCACACAGUAACGAGUUUUUAAUGAAACUUUAUCCAACACCACCAAUAAUUUACCACCUCUUUAAGCAGUUGAUGUAUUUGAUUUAAUUUGUUGAUUUGUAUGUUUCUAUUGAACCCUUAUCCAAUAUAAUUGCAGUGCUCUCUUUAGCAGUAAAAUGGCUCCCUACAUAUCACUCCAUCACCAAGCAUAUCUAUAUUUGUUUUCCAUUACACCUCUUCCUCAGCUCAUCUAUUGCUGAAAUGCUCAUUCAUGUGCAUUUGCUAUCUCUGGAUAUGAUUAUUCCAAUGCUGCCCUGACUGGCCUCCAUCCUCCACACUAUAUAAACUCAUUCAUCCAAAUUACUGCUCCCACUUUCCCAACUCCACCAGGGGUUUUUAACCCAUAAUAACCAUUACGGUCAAGGACCUAUUGGUUCCCAGUCCAUAAUGACAUAGCUUUAACAUUCUCUUCCAUACAUUCAAAUUCUCCCUUGAAUGUGCUCCUUUCUAUGCAGCCUCUUUUAACCCUAUGAUCCUUUCAGGUCACUUCACUUUGCUGCUUUUGAUUUCCUGUGCCAUUAAUUGCUCUUUAUUUGGAAGCUAUGCCUUCAACUGCCGAAACCUAAAGACCUGGAAUUUAGUCCCUGAAACACUUAACCUCUGUAUCUUGCUUUCCUGCUUUUAAGACAUUCCUUAAAAGUCCCUUUGACCAAACUCUUGUUCUUUCUGUUCUAAAAUCUCUUUAUAUGACUUCAUGGCAAAUUUUGUUGAAUACUGCUUCUGCAAAAAGUUUUAGAAUGUCUUACUAUGUUAAAGACACUAUUCAUGCAAGUUGUUCAUAAACAUUGCUUUCUAGAAACACCGCAUUUCCACUGUUUCUAUCUGAUGGAAGCAUGCAGUGUCAAAUUGAUAAUUUAUUUCAACAUUGUAGCAUAGCAGUAGCACAUUUUCAACUUUACAACAUGUUUAAAUAAAUAAGGUGAGUAUAUUAAAUUGAAUGUUGUCCAAUAGUGAUUACACUUGAUUUUUAAACAAGCUGUCUUGCAAAAUAUUACAAAAGAAAAAUACCGCAGAUGCUGGAAAUCUGAAAUAAAGACUCAAAAUACUGGAAACACUCAGCAUGUCAGGCAACAUCAAUGGAAAGGAAUGGAGUUAAUAUUUCAGGGUAAUACAGGAUCAUUGACCUGAGACUUUAACUCUGAUUCCAUAGUUGCCACAUGACCUGCUGAUUAUUUCCAGCAUUUUCUGUUUCAUUGUAGAAAUAUUUUAUUUAUACCUGAAUUGUCAAGAUGAAUUAGUAGCAUCUCUCUCCUCCAGAACUUCUCGGCAGGAUUUUCUCAGGGUAGUAUCCAUGGCUUAAUCAUCUUCUUCUCCUUUUCAAAUAACCUUUCUUCCAUCAUAAGGUCAGAAUUGGGGAUGUUUAUUGUUAAUUGGCAAAUAUUCAGCACCAUUUGUGACUCUUUAUAUACUGAUGCUCUCUAUAAGCAGUAAGAUCUGGAGAGCAUUCAUACUUGGGCUGAUAAGAGGCAAGUUAGAUUUGCGGCACACAAGUGCCAGGCUAAAUAGAAUGUAACUAUCUCCCAUGACUCUCAAUAAAAUCUCUGUCACUGAAUCUCCUGCUAUCUUCAUUCUGGGAUUACCACUGACGAAAAAUUGAACUGGACAAGCCAUCAAAACACUUUGGCUAUAAGAGCAGAUGUGAUGACCAUUCGUGGUGAGUAACUCACCUCCUGACUCCCCUGAGCCUGUCCAUUAUAUACAUGCUCAAGUCAGGAAUAUGAUGGAAUACUUCUCACUUGCUUGGAUGUGUUCAACACUCAAGAAGCUUGAAACCAUUCAGGACAAAGUAGCCUACUUGAUUGACACCACACCCACCCCAUUCAGCAUUUAUUCCCUUACACUACAAAUGUACAAUGUACCGUCUACAAGAUGCACUACGGCUACUCACCAUGGCUGCUUCAACAGGACCUUCCAAACCUAUGACCUCUAUCAACUAGUAAAGCAGAGGCAGCAGGUGCAUGGCAGAAAGACCACCUGCAGAUUCCCCUCCAAAUCAUUGGACUUGGAACUGUAUCACCAUUCCUUUACUGUUACUGGGUCAAAAUCUUAUAGCUUUCUUCUGAAUAGAAAUCUGAAUGUACCUGCACCCUGGAGACUGCAGUGGUGCACCAAAGCAGUACACCAUCACCUCAGGGGGAAUUUGGAAUGGACAAUAUAUGGCUGAACAGUGAAGCCCACAUAUUAUGAAUAAAUAUUCAUUAAAAAGUGAAAUAUUCAGAAUUACAGAAUUGUUACAGGCCAGAAGAAUGCCACCAUGUAUUUCCUGGCUCUUUAAAUGAGCAUUUCGUUUAACAUCAUUCUCUUGCUUUUCCCCCCAUAACUCUGCUAAUUAUUUCUCUUCAGACAGCAGUAUUCUCCCCUUUUUAAUUGUUGAAUUGAACCUGACAUUUUGAGGCAGUGCAUUCUAGACAUUAACCAUUAGGUGCAUGAAAAGGUGUUCACACAUAUAGCUUUUGCUUCUUUUACCAAUUACUUUAAAUCUGUGCCCUCUCAUUUUUGGGAACGUUUUUUCUCUGUCUAUUCUGUGCAGACCUUUUAUAAUUUUGAAUUUUUUGCUAUCAAAUCUUUCAGCUUUCUUUUCUCGAAAGAGAACUAUCCUAACUUCUCCAACUUCUCUUCAUAACUGCAGGUCCUCAUCCUUUGAGCUGCUCUCCUUAGAGCAACAAUUCAACAUCUUGUACCUCCUACCAUAUCAAAGGGAUAUUCACCUCAUUUAGUUGAAACAUCGCUGUUUCAGAAAGUUAUUGAGUUGUGCAUAUUCAGAGGUCUCAUUUGAUAAAAACAGUCACUGAACUCUAAAAGCCAUGUAAAAUAUUGUAAUGCAGAAUUUUGCAAGCUUUUGUCUUUGUACAUUGCCUGCUCAUGGAACCUGGGAGAUCAUCUGCAAAGGUUAAAUUCAUGAUUCUUUAACAUGAACAUAGUUCAAAUUGCUAAUGUAAAUAAAUAUAGUUAUUAAGAAUUUAUUCACCAAUGAGACAACAGAUGCAUGAGUAGCUCCUUCCAAAAGUCCCCCAAUUUAAAACUGGAUGAACCAUGAAAGAAAUAUUAAUAAAACAUAAAAUUCUAGAAACACGCAGCAAGUCAGCAUAAAGUAUCAUAGGACUUGCAACCUCAGUUUUACUGCGUUUCAGAGCUUUCAGGUCUUCAUUGCUGGAGAUUAGGUAUUCCUAGGAUUGAAUGUUAUAAUUUCCUGCUGUUAUUAUCCCUAUUAUCACUGGCACACACUGUGACUUCAUACAGGUACAGUUAAAUAAAUAUCUGGAAGAAGUGAUGAUAACCAAAAUAUUAAAAUUAUUCUGUGAGAGUUAGUUUUGUCUAAAGUUUGGUGCUCAAAACUAAAUGUUAUAUUUUGGAAUAACUCUCCUGCACUAUGUCAUAUCCCAGUGGGGUAGGGCACUAAAAUUCAAGUCCUGCUAUUUUUGGAGUGGUUCCAAGAAUUUCAGAUUUUAUCAAAGUGGACAACAUGUCCCAAUUUACUGAUCUUUUAAGACCAAAGUUUCUGUAGUUAAUAGGAAUUAAUAUCAAUUACAAAUAAAUGGAUUCUACCAAUGGGUAAACAACAGACCUGGUUAAAUAUAACUCUGCUGGUUAAAACCUUGGCCGACUAUAAAACUCGCCCUAUAUUCACACUCACAGAUGCAGAGGGAGGGAAAAACUGGGAAGCCAGUUCAAUGGUCCCCUCAUCCUCAGGAUUGACUGUGACAAUUCUUUUGGCUUGCCAGAACUUGCUGUUAACCUACACCAUAAGGGACUCUAAGACACAGGAGCAGGUUAGACCAUAGAGCCUAUUGAGUCAGCUCCUCUGUUCAAUGAGAUCGUGACUGAUCUGGUUACUCGCAACUCCAUUUUUCUGCCUUUUCCACAUAACCCUCGACACCCUUACUGAUAAAAAAAUCUGUCAAUCUCAGCCGUGAAUAUACUGAACGAUCCAGGCUCGACAACCCUCUGUGGGAAAGAAUUCUGUAGAUUUACAGUGGUCUGAAAGAAGAGAUUUCUCCUACUCUCUGCCUUAAAUGUGUGACCCCACAUUCAGAGACAAUGGCCUCUAAUCCUAGACUCUCCCACAAGAGGUACCAACCUCUCUGCAUCUACUCUGUCAAAACCUCCUUAGAAUCAUAUGUAUCAAUAAGGUUUUUUUUUGUUCUUCUAAAUUCCAAUGAGUACAGGACCAUCUUACUCAAUCUCUCCCAAGGACAGUCCCUCCAUAUCAGCCUCAUGAACCUUCCAAGUACCGCUUCCAAUGCCAAUAUAUCUUUCCUUAGAUUAGAUCCUCCACAAUGUUCACGGUAUUCCAGGUGUAGUCUGUCCAAUGCCUUAUGUAGUCUUAGCAAAAUCUCCCUACUUUUAUGCUCCAUUCUCUUUGAAAUAAAAACCAACACUCCAUUUGCCUUCCCUAUUACCCACUUAACUUGGCUGAGAUUUUUAUGAUUCAUAUAUAAGUACUCCUAAAUCUUCUGUGCUGCACCUUUCUAUAGUCUUUUCCCAUUUAAAUAAUAUUCAACUCUUCUGUUAUUCCUGCCAAAGUUCAUUAUCUCACACUUUCCAACUGUAUAUUUCAUCCGUCAAGUUUUUGCCCAUUUGCUUAAUCUAUCUCUAUCUCCCUGUGGACACUUUGUGUCAUCUUCACCAGUUGCCAUUUCUGCUAAUUUUGUGUCAUCUGAUCUCUUCGUACUUUCAUCUGCUUGCAGGGGGUACAGAGUGAUUGGUUCACAACUUAUCAAUUCUCUGACUUAUUGGUUGAAAGCAGCAGCAUCCAGUAACUAGUGAGGGAAAGUAAACUGGCUUUCUUCAAGCAUUAGGUGUUUUUACUGCAGAGAAAAGGACAGCACCUCCCCUUCCAGACGUCUAAUUGCUUCUGACUGUAUUGUUCACACAUACAAGAUACUCAGUUACCUGACAGCCAAUCACGCCGUUAUUGGCAGGCAGGAUGCCUUUGUCAUCAACAAUUGUUCACUACUCCAAGGAUAGAUCAACUACUUUUUGACAGCCAAAUCUCACUUUGUGUACAUUGUCUUCAUCCGAUUCAUCUGCAACUAAACUUCCUGUACUGGUUGAACAAACAAUAGUGUAAAUAACACUUAUUGUAAGUGCAGCAAUCCCUUCAACCCCCAGUGUUAAAAACAGUUCUUUUCCCAUUUCAGUCCACAAUCAAAAAUACAGAGAAAUGAAAAAACACUAUUGGCUUCACAACAUUUAUUUUACCAAUUGAUACUUCAGCAUUUUUACUGACUCGGUAAUUAUUCCUGUUUUCUUUCCACUCCUUGUUUCUAAUGAACACUGAAUCUACUUGAGAUUGUAGAUUAUUCCCCACACUGAGAAGAGUUUAGAAACAUCAGUCAGCUAUAUAAACAAAUCUGUCUGGUUAAUACUACAGAUUUACUGAAGUCUUUAACUCAUUACAUUUCAGUUAAGGCUUGAUCAAGGUUCAGAUUAAUCGUAAUGGAAUAUUGAUGUUUUGAUGUCUUCAAAUUAAAAUGGCUUUUUGGCACCAUCAGAGAGAAAUUGUGUUCUGCAAAGCUUACAUUUGAAGCUUUGAGUCCUUGAAUAGCACACAUUUUAAGUUGGAUACCCUCUCCCUUUGCACCAAUUGCACACAAAGGAAUGUACAAUGACUAAAACUUGCAUUUAUCUUGGGUCAUUAAUGUAGUAAAAUACUUCAAGGUGCUUCACAGCAGCAUUGUCAAUCAAAAUUUCACACUGUGCUAGGUGAGAAAAGGUCCU